rnacentral:tRNA from 1 species
GUCGUCGUGGCCGAGUGGUUAAGGCGACAAACUACGAAAUCUGUUGGGCUCUGCCCGCACAGAUUCGAAUCCUGUCGGCGACG